rnacentral:rRNA from 1 species
UACGUAGGGGGCGAGCGUUGUCCGGAUUUACUGGGCGUAAAGCGCGUGUAGGCGGCGCCUUAAGUCAGGUGUGAAAGCCCGGGGCUCAACCCCGGAGUGCCGCCUGAAACUGGGGUGCUUGAGGACGGAAGAGGGGAGUGGAAUUCCUGGUGUAGCGGUGAAAUGCGUAGAUAUCAGGAGGAACACCCGUGGCGAAGGCGGCUCCCUGGUCCGUUACUGACGCUGAGACGCGAAAGCGCGGGGAGCGAACGGG